GUACGGAGGGUGCAAGCGUUAUCCGGAAUCAUUGGGUUUAAAGGGUCCGUAGGCGGGCGAUUAAGUCAGAGGUGAAAUCCCACAGCUCAACUGUGGAACUGCCUUUGAUACUGGUUGUCUUGAGUUACAGUGAAGUAGAUAGAAUGUGUAGUGUAGCGGUGAAAUGCAUAGAUAUUACACAGAAUACCGAUUGCGAAGGCAGUCUACUAACUGUAUACUGACGCUAAUGGACGAAAGCGUGGGGAGCGAACAGGAUUAGAAACCCCGGUAGUCC
rnacentral:rRNA from 1 species